CGAGGUGGAGGUGGUGUUCUGUGUGCCGUUCCAUUCCAGGGCCUGAGGAGACCAAGCUUGGACGUAGAGGUGGAGCAGAGCAUUGUUGGUAAAUAGAUUCUCAGCUAAAACAGCUCCAGCGCAUGGCUUCACAGCCGAAGAGUCCAGGUCCUGAAC